UACAGAGGUCUCAAGCGUUGUUCGGAAUUACUGGGCGUAAAGGGCUCGUAGGUGGCCAACUAAGUCAGACGUGAAAUCCCUCGGCUUAACCGGGGAACUGCGUCUGAUACUGGAUGGCUUGAGUUCGGGAGAGGGAUGCGGAAUUCCAGGUGUAGCGGUGAAAUGCGUAGAUAUCUGGAGGAACACCGGUGGCGAAGGCGGCAUCCUGGACCGACACUGACGCUGAGGAGCGAAAGCCAGGGGAGCCAAAGCGGGAUUAAGAAACC
rnacentral:rRNA from 1 species